rnacentral:rRNA from 1 species
CGCUGGCGCGGGGCGAGGUUAACCGAAAGGGAGCCGGAGCGAAAGCGAGCCUUAACAGGGCGACUUGAGUCCCGCGCCGCGGACGCGAAGCCGGGUGAGCUAUCCGUGGGCAGGCUGAAGCGGGGGUAAGACCCCGUGGAGGGCCGAACGCACGUCGGUUGAAAACGGCGGCGAUGACCUGCGGAUAGGGGUGAAAGGCCAAUCAAACCCGGAGAUAUCUCGUUCUCCCCGAAAUAGCUUUAGGGCUAGCGUCGCGCGUUCACCGCCGGAGGUAGAGCACCGGAUGGACGAGGGGGCUUCGCCGCCUACCGAAUCCAACCGAACUCCGAAUGCCGGCGGCCCAGAGCGCGGCAGUCAGAGCAUGUGGGCUAAGCUGUGUGCUCGAGAGGGAAACAGCCCGGACCGCCCGCUAAGGUCCCCAAGUUCCAGCCGAGUGGCAAAGGAUGUGCGUCCGCCCAGACAACCAGGAUGUUGGCUUAGAAGCAGCCAUCCAUUCAAAGAGUGCGUAACAGCUCACUGGUCGAGUGGACAUGCGCCGACAAUACACGGGGCUAAGCUGGACACCGAAGCGGCGGGAUUUUAUUUAUAGAAUCGGUAGGGGAGCUUCCCAUGGGCGGAGAAGCCGGAGGGCGACCGACGGUGGAGCGCAUGGGAGUGAGAAUGCUGGCAUGAGUAGCGAGAGACGAGAGAGUAACUCGUCCGCCGUGAACCCGAGGUUUCCUGGGCAAGGCUAAUCCUCCCAGGGUCAGUCGGGGGCUAAGGCGAGGCCGGGAGGCGUAGCCGACGCGCAGCAGGCAGACAUUCCUGCACCGCGCACGCGGCGCUACGACCGACGGGGCGACGGAUGGGGGUGGCUCGGCGGGGUUCUGGACGUCCCCGUGAUGGAGCGCGGCCCGCGGACCAGGGAAAUCCGGUCCGCACGAGGGCGAGGCUCCGGACGAAGCACUUAAGCGAAGCGAGUGAGCCCGAGGUCCCUAGAAAAACCCCUAGGCAGGCGCGUGCGCGCCCGUACCGCAAACCGACACAGGUGGGUGGGUAGAACAUACCGAGGCGAUCGGGUCAACCAUGGUCAAGGAACUCGGCACAAUGGCCCCGUAACUUCGGGAGAAGGGGUGCCCGCGCGUACGUGAACGGACUUGCUCCGGGAGCGGAGGCGGGCCGCAGUGGAGAGGCCCAAGCGACUGUUUACCAAAAACACAGGACUCUGCAGAAGCCGCAAGGCGACGUAUAGGGUCUGACGCCUGCCCGGUGCCGGAAGGUCACGCGGAGGGGUUAGCCGCAAGGCGAGGCCCCGAAGCCAAGCCCCGGUAAACGGCGGCCGUAACUAUAACGGUCCUAAGGUAGCGAAAUUCCUUGUCGGGUAAGUUCCGACCUGCACGAAAGGCGCAACGACUUGGGCGCUGUCUCGACCAUGGACCCGGUGAAAUUGCACUGGUCGUGAAGAUGCGACUUACCCGCGGAAGGACGGAAAGACCCCGUGAACCUUCACUGCAGCUUGGCAUUGGCCGCUGGUCCCGCGUGUAGAGGAUAGGCAGGAGGCACAGAUCCGGAGGCGCCAGCCCCCGGGGAGCCGCCCUUGGAAUACUGCCCUCGCGCGACCGGCGUCCUAACCCGAGGCCGUCAACCGGCUCGGGGACCGUGCCAGGCGGGCAGUUUGACUGGGGCGGUCGCCUCCUAAAGGGUAACGGAGGCGCGCGAAGGUCCGCUCGGGACGGUCGGCAACCGUCCUUUUGAAUGCAAGAGUACAAGCGGGCUUGACUGCGAGGCCCACAAGCCGAGCAGGUGCGAAAGCAGGCUCUAGUGAUCCGGCGGCCCCGAGUGGGUGGGCCGUCGCUCAACGGAUAAAAGGUACUCCGGGGA